UGGGGAAUCUUGCGCAAUGGGCGAAAGCCUGACGCAGCAACGCCGCGUGAGGGAAGAAGGCCUUCGGGUUGUAAACCUCUUUCAGCGGGGACGAAGCCUCUUUUUGGGGGUGACGGUACUCGCACAAGAAGCACCGGCUAACUACGUGCCAGCAGCCGCGGUAAUACGUAGGGUGCAAGCGUUGUCCGGAAUUAUUGGGCGUAAAGAGCUCGUAGGCGGUCUGUCGCGUCUGCUGUGAAAACCCGGGGCUUAACCCCGGGCGGGCAGUGGAUACGGGCAGACUAGAGUCCGGCAGGGGAGAGUGGAAUUCCCGGUGUAGCGGUGAAAUGCGCAGAUAUCGGGAGGAACACCAGUGGCGAAGGCGGCUCUCUGGGCCGGCACUGACGCUGAGGAGCGAAAGCGUGGGGAGCGAACAGGAUUAGAUACCCCCGUAGUCC
rnacentral:rRNA from 1 species